rnacentral:lncRNA from 1 species
GUCUGUGGUCUGUCGGGCAACCUCCUAGCACUUUCAGAUGGCCUAAUAGCUUGCUUUCUUUCACUUCUCUCUUCCCACGUAGCCUUUGUUUUUCCUUUCUCAACCCAGUUAAGGCUGAUCAUAUAGAUUGGGGCUUCUAGGAAGAGAUCUAUGUCAAUUAUUAUAUUUGCCUAGGGUUUCUCCAACAACAGCUUUCCCUUAACUAUUAGGUCCUAGAUCCAAUCCUUGAAAUGUACACAGUUGGUGAUGGAAUGCUUGAAAGUAUAAUGAAGCCUGUAGUAUUUCUUUCCUCUCAACUCUUCUGGUUUAGGCAUCUUUUUUGUGUUGUCGGGCACAAUCACCAUUGCCCGCACUAACUCUUCAUAGAUCUUUGUUGCCUUGGUCAAAUCAAAAGAAUAAGCCUAGUACUUAGGGGGCUUCAUAGGCACGAAUCCUCCAUCAUUUAUCACUACUUUUUUAUCUUUAACUGGCUGGACCAAACCAUUCACCAUCAACAGUUUAAAAAGGGUGGUUAUCUCUACUACACACAUCUUUAUCCCCUCUCCUACAUUGUUGUCAUUUUCUCCAGGUUCUAGACCUUUAAAAUCCAAUUGGUGCGUUGCAGCUUUAAUUUUGUAGAAAUAAGGCACCUUGGAUAAGUGUUUCACUUGGUG